rnacentral:piRNA from 1 species
AAAUGUGUAAACAGUAAACGGAA